rnacentral:rRNA from 1 species
GACGAACCGUGCGAACGUUGUUCGGAAUCACUGGGCGUAAAGGGCGCGUAGGCGGCUCAUGAAGGCUGUGGUGAAAGUCCGGGGCUCAACCUCGGAUCGGCCGUGGCGACUCGUGGGCUGGAGCACUGUAGAGGCGGGUGGAAUUCCGGGUGUAGCGGUGAAAUGCGCAGAUAUCGGGAGGAACACCGGUGGCGAAGGCGGUUCUCUGGGCCUGUACUGACGCUGAGGAGCGAAAGCGUGGGUAGCAAACAGG